rnacentral:rRNA from 1 species
GGCUCAGAACGAACGCUGGCGGCGCGCCUAAUACAUGCAAGUCGAACGAGAAUGUGUAGCAAUACACAUGUACAGUGGCGAACGGGUGAGGAAUACAUGGGUAACCUACCCUCGAGUGGGGAAUAACUAGCCGAAAGGUUAGCUAAUACCGCGUACGCCUCCUGGACUGCGGUUCGGGAGGGAAAGCGAUACCGUGGGUAUCGCGCUCUUGGAUGGGCUCAUGUCCUAUCAGCUUGUUGGUGAGGUAACGGCUCACCAAGGCUUCGACGGGUAGCUGAUCUGAGAGGAUGAUCAGCCACACUGGCACUGCGACACGGGCCAGACUCCUACGGGAGGCAGCAGUAAGGAAUAUUGCGCAAUGGGCGAAAGCCUGACGCAGCGACGCCGCGUGGGGGAUGAAGGUCUUCGGAUUGUAAACCCCUUUCGGGAGGGAAGAUGGGAUGGGGUAACCCAUUCGGACGGUACCUCCAGAAGCAGCCACGGCUAACUUCGUGCCAGCAGCCGCGGUAAUACGAAGGUGGCAAGCGUUGUUCGGAUUUACUGGGCGUACAGGGAGCGUAGGCGGUUGGGUAAGCCCUCCGUGAAAUCUCCAGGCUUAACCUGGAAAGUGCAGAGGGGACUGCUCAGCUAGAGGAUGGGAGAGGAGCGCGGAAUUCCCGGUGUAGCGGUGAAAUGCGUAGAGAUCGGGAGGAAGGCCGGUGGCGAAGGCGGCGCUCUGGAACAUUUCUGACGCUGAGGCUCGAAAGCGUGGGGAGCAAACAGGAUUAGAUACCCUGGUAGUCCACGCCUUAAACGAUGGAUACUAAGUGUCGGCGGGUUACCGCCGGUGCCGCAGCUAACGCAGUAAGUAUCCCGCCUGGGAAGUACGGCCGCAAGGGUGAAACUC